UUCCUUCCUUCCUUUUUUCCUUCCUUCCUUCCUUCCCUCCUUCCUUCCUUCCUUUUUGUUGUCUAUUUGUUUGUUUUGAGACAGAGUCUCACUCUGUUGUCCAGGCUGGAGUGCAAUGGUGCAGUCUUGGCUCACUAUAACCUCCACCUCCCAGAUUCAAGUGAUUCUCCUGCCUCAGCCUCCUGAGUAACUGAGGGAUUACAGGCGUGAGCCACCACGUCAGGCUAAUUUUUUUGUAUUUUCAGUAGAGAUGGGGUUUCACCGUGUUGGCCAGGUUGGUCUUGAAUUCCUGGCCUCAAGCGAUCCACCUGCCUCGGCCUCCUAAAGUGCUGGAAUUACAGGUGUAAGCCACCACGCCUGGCCUGAGCCAGCUGCUCCUGACUCAAAGAAAGGAGCUAACAGUAGGCGAGGAAGACCAUGGGCCAUGAUGGGUCCUUCCCACAGAUGCUGCAGAGCCCUCCUGACUUCCCACCACCUUAUGCUGAGAGUGGGGUGGGAGUGUUAGGAGCCAAAAGGGUCUAGGUUGGGUGGCUGUUCACCCCCAUCAUGGUCCUGUCCCCUACCAUGAAGGUCCAAGCCCCCAGGUCCAAUCCCCUGUGCUGAUCCGGAUACUGCUAUUUUUGAAGACCAAGUUCUUCCCUACUUCCUUCUCAUCUCCUCCAAGUCACGGGCCUGCCAUGGCCCAGAUGAUAGUCAUUGGAAAAGUGGAACAUCCUGAAAUUGGCCUUGGUAAGAGUUUGCUGUGAGACCUUAAGGGGGUCACCUGACUGUGGGGAGCCUCAGUUUCCCCAUUGGUAAAAUGGUGAUAAGCGGAGUCUUUGCUGGGUCAGCCUAUAUUGGGAUUGGGAGACUCUUUUCAGAGCACAAGCAACUCAUGGUCUCUUCACUGGGUCAGAGCAGUGCAGGAAGGACUGGGGGAUCCUAUGGGGUGUCCACCAAGUACCAAGAUAGCAGAGGAUGGGAGGAAGGCACCUCUCAUGUCCUCCUCCACCCAUCCCUCUGGAAGUCUUCAGGAAGGGGUCACCAUGCGCCUGCCAGAGUCUGAGCCUCGUCCUCAGCUUGGCUGGGUCUCAUUCUUCCUGGGAAUUGAGGAAGAUCUAAGGCCAAGCGCUAUGGGAUUUCAUAGGAUGCUCAGAGACCUCCAAACCUCCCUUCCAGGAAGCUGCUCUUUGUGCCUUGGUGCCUCUUGCAGGGAUCUCCUCUCCCCACCUCCCACCCACAGCCUGGCUAAUGCCUAUUGGCAUCCCUACCCUCAGCUCCAGGGCGCCUUCUCCAGGCUGCAUCACAUCCGCUUCUCUAUGAUCCCAUAGAAUCUGGUUCCUUCCUUCCCAUAGGGACUCUGCCAGGCUGUGCUAGCCAGGGGGCUGCUGUGGUGAGCAGGAGUUUCCCACUCACAUUUCAGCUUUUUCCCUCCAUCACACUCAGUGUUCUUCAUCUGUCCUCCAUCCUGGGAGGCCGAGGUCGGCCUGCCUCUCUCCUGGCACGGACAUCCAAAUGGGGCCUGGCACAGAGGAGGUGCUGGGCACAUGUCUGCUUAGUGUGUGUGGGAAUGAAUGAAUGAAUGAGUGAGUGAGUGAAUGAGGGAUCUCGCCUGCCUCUGAGCUGUGUUCCCAGGAGCCCCUCCUCUCCUUUUUACCACUUGCUAGCUGACAUGUUUUCUUUUGCUUGUGUUAUAUAUAUAUAUACACACAUAUAUAUAUAUAUGUUUGUUUGUUUGUUUUUUGAGAUGGGGGCUGGCUCUGCUGUCCAGACUGGAGUGCAAUGGUGCAAUCAUAGCUCACUGUAGCCUCCAAUUCCUGAGCUCAAGUGAUCCCCCCACCUCAGUCUCCUCAGUAGCUGGGUCUACGGGUACACACCACCAUGCCUGGCUAUUUAUUUUAUUUUAUUUUUAGUAGAGAUGGGGUCUUGCUCUGUUGCUCAGCUGGUCUCAAACUCCUAGCCUCAAGUGAUCCUUCCACCUCGGCCUCCUAAAGCAUUGGGAUUACAGGCAUGAGCCACUGCUCCCAACCUUUGGGUAAGAAAUUUCUGAGGGUCAAGUGGAAAAGAUGAUGGAAAGGAAUAGUAAGGGGGCAGUGUGCUCACCUGGUCCUGGUGCUCUGAAGGACAAGAACAGGUAAACACCUGAGAUGCUUUACUCUUGCUUCCUUUGAGGACUUAGACGACCACCCACCUCUAACUCAGCGUUUGAGAUCCCAGCUUGUGGGUCCCUGGUCAUAUCAGAAACUCCUCAAGGAGGGACCCUCCCCUUCCUCAUCGGGCUUCAACAGAGUUUCUCCUGUCAGAUCAGCAGCACUUUCCUUCUUUUCUUUCUUUCUUUUUUUUUUUUUUGAGGGAGCAGGGACUGAGUCUCGCUCUGUUGGCCAGGCUGGAGUGCAGUGGUGCAAUCAUGGUUCACUGCAGCCUCAAACUCCUGGGCUCAAGCGAUCCCCCCGCCUUAGCCUCCUGAGUAGCUGAGACUACAAGUGGUAUCACCUCACCUAGCUUGCCCUUUCUCCCUUUUGAAAGAGUCACUUGUUGGCCAGGCACAGUGGCUCACGCCUGUAAUCCCAGCACUUUGGGAGGCUGAGGUGGGCAGAUCACGAGGCCAGGAGAUCAAAACCAUCCUGGCUAACACGGUGAAACCCCAUCUCUACUAAAAAUACAAAAAAUUAGCCGGGUGUGUUGGCGAGCGCCUGUAGUCCC
ensembl:lncRNA